UCGACGGUGACCCCGGAUAAGCCGCAAAC
rnacentral:piRNA from 1 species